CCAACCUGGGAUGAUUGCCAGCAGCUUUCACAGAUCCUGUUCACCACUGAGGAACCGGACUGCAUUUAACAACAGACAGUCAAAGAGGCCCUGGGGCCAAACCCCAGUGUCACUCCCGGAACUCCGGGGCAUUUGGCCAAGGUUAAAACAGUAGUUUCAUCAUGACACCCCGAAUGGGACCCCAAUGAUGAUGACGUCUCUUCAAGCCUUACAGAUUCUUCAGAGUGAGAUCCAGGCUACAAAACAACAGGCUCAAGAAAAAAACCUUUGCAACGUUCCAGCCCCACGGUUUCAAGCCAGGAGAACUGGUCCUGAUAUAUUUGGUUUGCUUGCACCGAGGACUUGACUAAAUACAUUACCAAAUCAGUCUUGGCUACCCAAUCUGCCACUUUAUUUUGUGUCACCGUGUAUGUUGUUCCACAAGUCUUGUAUUAUAAUAAAAAAG
rnacentral:lncRNA from 1 species